UGAUUAGAUACCCCACUAUGCUUUGGAGUUAACCACAACAUGAACUCAACAGCCUGUUCGCCAGAGAAUUACGGGCGAAAGCCUAAAACUCAAAAGACUUGACGGUGUCCCAAUCCUGCCUAGAGGAGCCUGUUUCAUAAUCGACAACCCCCGCUCAACCCAACCUCUCCUUGUAAACCCCAGCCUAUAUACCGCCGUCUUUCCUGCUUACCUUCUGAAAGACAAAUAGUAAGCUCAAUAGCCCCUCAGCUAAAAAGUCAGGUCAAGGUGUAGCUUAUGGAGAGGAGAAAAUGGGCUACAUUUUCUAGUACAGAACACAACGGAAAAUAUUCUGAAAUAAAACAUACAAAGGUGGAUUUAGCAGUAAGCCAAACUAGAGUGUUUGACUAAAUUAAGCUCUGGGACACGUACACACCGCCCGUCCCCUA
rnacentral:rRNA from 1 species